rnacentral:rRNA from 1 species
GACGAACGCUGGCGGCGUGCUUAACACAUGUAAGUCGAACGGUAAGGCCCUUCGGGGUACACGAGUGGCGAACGGGUGAGUAACACGUGGGUGAUCUGCCCUGCACUUCGGGAUAAGCCUGGGAAACUGGGUCUAAUACCGGAUAGGACCACUGCCUGCAUGGGUGGUGGUGGAAAGCUUUUGCGGUGUGGGAUGGGCCCGCGGCCUAUCAGCUUGUUGGUGGGGUGAUGGCCUACCAAGGCGACGGCGGGUAGCCGGCCUGAGAGGGUGACCGGCCACACUGGGACUGAGAUACGGCCCAGACUCCUACGGGAGGCAGCAGUGGGGAAUAUUGCACAAUGGGCGCAAGCCUGAUGCAGCGACGCCGCGUGAGGGAUGACGGCCUUCGGGUUGUAAACCUCUUUCAGCACCGACGAAGCGCAAGUGACGGUAGGUGCAGAAGAAGGACCGGCCAACUACGUGCCAGCCGCCGCAGUAA